UACAGAGGUCUCAAGCGUUGUUCGGAUUCAUUGGGCGUAAAGGGUGCGUAGGCGGCGCGGUAAGUCGGGUGUGAAAUCUCGGAGCUUAACUCCGAAACUGCAUUGGAUACUGCCUUGCUAGAGUACUGGAGAGGGAACUGGAAUUUACGGUGUAGCAGUGAAAUGCGUAGAGAUCGUAAGGAAGGCCAGUGGCGAAGGCGACUUCCUGGCCUGUUCUUGACGCUGAGGCGCGAAAGCUAGGGUAGCAAACGGG
rnacentral:rRNA from 1 species